rnacentral:rRNA from 1 species
CCAGACUCCUACGGGAGGCAGCAGUGGGGGAUAUUGCACAAUGGGGGAAACCCUGAUGCAGCGACGCCGCGUGGGUGAAGAAGCGCCUCGGCGCGUAAAGCCCUGUCAGCAGGGAAGAAAAUGACGGUACCUGAAGAAGAAGCCCCGGCUAACUACGUGCCAGCAGCCGCGGUAAUACGUAGGGAGCGAGCGUUGUCCGGAAUUACUGGGGGUAAAGGGAGCGUAGGCGGGGAUGCAAGUUGGAUGUUUAAACUAUCGGCUCAACCGGUAAUUGCAACCAAAACUGCAACUCUUGAGUGAAGUAGAGGCAGGCGGAAUUCCUAGUGUAGCGGUGAAAUGCGUAGAUAUUAGGAGGAACACCAGUGGCGAAGGCGGCCUGCUGGGCUUUAACUGACGCUGAGGCUCGAAAGCGUGGGGAGCAAACAGGAUUAGAUACCCGUGUAAU